UCCUCCGCUUAUUGAUAUGCUUAAGUUCAGCGGGUAUUCCUACCUGAUCCGAGGUCAACAUUUCAGAAGUUGGGUGUUUUACGGACGUGGACGCGCCGCGCUCCCGGUGCGAGUUGUGCAAACUACUGCGCAGGAGAGGCUGCGGCGAGACCGCCACUGUAUUUCGGGGCCGGGAUCCCGUCUUAGGGGUUCCCGAUCCCCAACGCCGACCCCCCGGAGGGGUUCGAGGGUUGAAAUGACGCUCGGACAGGCAUGCCCGCCAGAAUACUGGCGGGCGCAAUGUGCGUUCAAAGAUUCGAU
rnacentral:misc_RNA from 1 species